rnacentral:rRNA from 1 species
GACGCCGAGCACCGAGACGAGUCCUAUGAGGACGAAGUGACUGACACCACGCUUCCAGGAAAAGCCACUAAGCUUCAGCUUAAGAAAAACCGUACCGCAAACCGACACAGGUAGGCAGGGUGAGAAUCCCAAGGCGCUUGAGAGAACUCGGGUGAAGGAACUAGGCAAAAUGGCACCGUAACUUCGGGAGAAGGUGCGCCCUUUGGUGUGGUCACGUGCGUGACUGAGCAUCGAAGGGUCGCAGUAACCUGGCCGCUGCGACUGUUUAUCAAAAACACAGCACUCUGCAAACACGAAAGUGGACGUAUAGGGUGUGACGCCUGCCCGGUGCUGGAAGGUUAAUUGAUGGGGUCAGCCGCAAGGCGAAGCUCUUGAUCGAAGCCCCAGUAAACGGCGGCCGUAACAAUAACGGUCCUAAGGUAGCGAAAUUCCUUGUCGGGUAAGUUCCGACCUGCACGAAUGGCGUAACGACAGCGGCGCUGUCUCCACCCGAGACUCAGUGAAAUUGAAAUCGCUGUGAAGAUGCAGCGUUCCCGCGGCAAGACGGGAAGACCCCGUGAACCUUUACUAUAGCUUUACACUGAACGUUGAGUUCUUCUGUGUAGGAUAGGUGGCAGGCUAUGAAACCAGGACGCUAGUUCUGGUGGAGCCAUCCUUGAAAUACCACCCUGAAGUGCUUGACGUUCUAACCUAGGCCCGUAAUCCGGGUCAGGGACCGUGUAUGGUGGGUAGUUUGACUGGGGCGGUCUCCUCCCAAAGAGUAACGGAGGAGCACGAAGGUACGCUCAGCGCGGUCGGACAUCGCGCACUGUGUGCAAAGGCAUAAGCGUGCUUGACUGCGAGAUCGACGGAUCAAGCAGGUACGAAAGUAGGUCUUAGUGAUCCGGUGGUUCUGUAUGGAAGGGCCAUCGCUCAACGGAUAAAAGGUACUCCGGGGAUAACAGGCUGAUACCGCCCAAGAGUUCAUAUCGACGGCGGUGUUUGGCACCUCGAUGUCGGCUCAUCACAUCCUGGGGCUGUAGCCGGUCCCAAGGGUAUGGCUGUUCGCCAUUUAAAGUGGUACGCGAGCUGGGUUCAGAACGUCGUGAGACAGUUCGGUCCCUAUCUGUCGUGGGCGUUGGAGAUUUGAGGGGGGCUGCUCCUAGUACGAGAGGACCGGAGUGGACGUUCCGCUGGUAUUCGGGUUGUCAUGCCCAUGGCAUUGCCCGGUAGCUACGAACGGAAGUGAUAACCGCUGAAAGCAUCUAAGCGGGAAGCACGCCCCAAGAUGAGAUCUCCCGAGAGCUUGACUCUCCUAAAGGCACCAUCAAGACUAGGUGGUUGAUAGGUCAGGUGUGGAAGCGCAGCAAUGCGUUGAGCUAACUGAUACUAAUGAGCCGUGAGGCUUGACCU